GGUUAAAAAGCUCGUAGUUGGAUCUCAACAGCCUUGAAGCGGUUAACUUUGUAGUUUUACUGCUUUAUAGGCUGUGCUUUUGCUGGAGGUUUAGGGGUGCUCUUGAUCGAGUGUCUCUGGAUGCCAGCAGGUUUACUUUGAAAAAAUUAGAGUGCUCAAAGCAGGCUAAAAUGCCUGAAUAUUCGUGCAUGGAAUAAUAGAAUAGGAUGUCGAUCCUAUUUUGUUGGUUUUCGGGACUCGACAUAAUGAUAAAUAGGGACAGUCGGGGGCAUUUGUAUUCAAACGACAGAGGUGAAAUUCUUGGACCGUUUGAAGACAAACUACUGCGAAAGCAUUUGCCAAGAAUGUUCUCAUUAAUCAAGAACGAAAGUUAGAGGUUCGAAGGCGAUUAGAUACCGCCCUAGUUCUAACCAUAAGCGAUGCCAGCUAGCGAUCUGCCUGCGUUUUUACUGUAGACUGGGCAGGAAGCUUCCGGGAAACCAAAGCAUUUGGGUUCCAGGGGAAGUAUGGUUGCAAAGCUGAAACUUAAAGGAAUUGACGGAAGGGCACCACCAGGAGUGGAGCCUGUGGCUUAAUUUGACUCAACACGGGAAAUCUCACCAGGCCCGGACACUGGAAGGAUUGACAGAUUGAUAGCUCUUUCUUGAUUCGGUGGGUGGUGGUGCAU
rnacentral:rRNA from 1 species